UGGUGAAGAAGGUGCCACCCUCUUCCUCUUUGUAACGAGGCCAUCCUCGGUGACCUCGUCAUCCUCUUCUUCCUCCUCAUGGAUGACUUGAGCGGCUUUCCUUUUAGGCCUUUUAAGAACCAGUUUUUUGCGUUGGGCGGGUUCCUUAGGUGGUGAUCGCCCGUGGACGAUAGCCUUCUCCACCACCGAGUUGGGCACUGUUUGCGAGCCCGUCGCCAAUCCAUGGUUUCGGGCGAGCGCCUUAAGUUCAGCGAGCAUGCCUUUGCCCAACAUGUCGUCUGCAUGGAACGAAAAUGCAUGGGUUAACUCAAGGAAAAAAUAAGUGCAUAAGGU
rnacentral:lncRNA from 1 species